AGAGAUUUUAGUAUUUUUCGUUGAAAAAGUAAGUACUACUUCAAUUAUAACAUAUUCUUUAUUUAUUUGAGUAUGCGUAAUGGUAAAAUUGUUUUCUAAACCUUUCAAAUGGGGCCGAGGACAUCAUUGUACACCAGCAGAACGCAACAUUAUUUUGAAACACUAUAGAGAGGGUAAAUCUUACUCAUAUAUAAAAAAUAUUCUCGGAUGUUCAGCAAAGAUGAUUUCAAAUGCCAUAAAUUAUAUAGCAAAAGUUGAAAAACGAGGGGGGAAACGUAAGACUACCGCGCAAGAAGACCGAAGAAUUGUUAGAUUUGUUAAAAGCAAACCAUUUUCAUCGGCCAAGCAAGUCAAAGAUGAUCUUGACCUACAGGUGAGUGAAACAACAGUUCGUAGACGCUUACGAGAGAAAAGUUUGUAUGCACACAGUCCACGAAAGGUCUCUUUGUUGACAAAAAAACAUACCGCUAAACGUUUGCAGUUCGCAAACCAACAUCUGAAUUGGCCCAUCGAAAAGUGGCGCAACGUAUAAUGGACUGAUGAAUCAAAAAUAGUUCUUUAUGGAAGUGCAGGUUCAAGAUAAUAUGUAAGACGUCCAUCUAAUACAGAAUUCCAGCAAAAAUAUACCAUUAAGUCUGUAAAACAUGGUGGAGCCAAAGUCAUGGUAUGGGGCUGUUUCUCAUAUAAUGGUGUCGGACCUAUUUAUAAGAUUAAUGGUAUUAUGGAACAACAUAUAUAUGUCGAUAUCCUCAAUAAUGUCAUGCUGCCUUAUGCUAAUGAAGAUAUGCCGUUAAAAUGGGUCUUUCAACAAGACAACGACCCAAAACACACUAGUCACAAGGCAAAAGAGUGGUUUCAGGUCAAUGGGGUUGAGGUUAUGGAGUGGCCUGCUCAGUCACCUGACCUAAACCCCAUUGAAAACUUAUGGGGAGACGUUAAAAAAGCAGUUUCUACUGCUAAUCCAACUAAUGCUCAGCAGUUAUGGGAAGCUACUCAACAAGGAUAGUACGCAAUACCAGCAGAAAAAUGUCAAUGCCUAGUUGACUCAAUGCAUCGGCGUUGUGAAGCCGUUAUCUCAAACAAAGGUUUUGCAACGAAAUACUAAGGAUACCACUGCUAUUUCAAUGACUGCGAGCUUUCUUGAUAUUAUUGUUUUUUUUUCUGAAAUAAAAUGUAAAAUAUUA